UAAAUACACAGGCCACAUCGGAGGUGACGCGGUUCGCUUGAACCGUGUUUCAGAGCGAUUGGGAGAACCGAAACUUUGGCAGAGCAAAUACUACUGCCACACUUCUGUACCGUGGGCAAAUAUUUAACAGAUUGCAGGUUGUGUGUGUGUGUUUGCUUUGUUUGUGUUUUGGAGUGUGUGUUCUUUGUGGAGGGGUGAAGGGGGGUAACUGGGCAUUUUGGGUGCAAUUCUCUUUUUGAAUGUGUAUUAUAAUUGUAGAUUAUAUUAAAAGCUGUUAUUGAAACUAGUAUAGAGUACAAAUUAGUUUGAGUUUGCGUCAUCUUCACAGAAACAUUAUGAGUUCUCUCUCAAACAUGGUAUCAUGUCAUUCACUGAAAGGUUUCCAGAUCUUUCCAUGUGGUGUCUUAUAAUAAAAUCUAUUUUCCAGACUGUUCCCCAAAUUUUCUAAUAAGUGCAUGCAACACAAAGUAAGCAGGAAUGUAAUAUAAACAGACUUCAUGUAACACAUUUUAUUAAUCAGCUUUUUGAUUUCAACUCUGUAUGUAGAUGAGCUGAUUGGUUUACCUGCAGUGAGACCACCUCUAUGUCCCUGCUCUACACACACACACACACACACACACACACAUACACACACACACACACACACACCGCCCCCUCCGAGCUGGCAUGACUUAAAUAACAUGUGCAGAGGCCCCGUGUUGUUACCCUGUUAAAGUGCUCAUUCACAGACUCUCAGGGGGCAUCAGAACAACCUUGAACCUCGACUGAAUGAGAGCCUCCCCAGCCGAACUGCCAGUCACGACAUGCUCCGCUGCCAGUUCAACACAUCGAAUCAGCGGAAAAGCCACCAACAAGGACCAACCAUUGCCAAGAGUGUGGAACACUGCAGCUUGGGAUGGUUCAAGGGAUGGUUCAGAUCUUUUGAAGUGGGGUUGUAUGCAACCAGGUCUCACUCAGAAGUCAUCAGAAUCCAGCGCUUGGGCAGUGACCUCCAGCAUCAGACACUGAUGAGAAAAGACAUCCUUUCACAUCUGCAUGAUUUAUGGCUGGUUCCCAUUAUGGUUUAACGGCUACCAGCCAUGUAUCAUGUGGACGAUUAGUACAAUGUGUUGUUAAAAGAGGAUAUAAAAAAAUGUAUGUAUACAGAAAAGCAAAAAUAUACACAGUAAGGUGCUUCAUCUAAAAAUUAGUCUUUGCCCUGAAAGAAUUUCAGUACAGGGUCCCAAAUCUUACCAAAUACAGCACCUCUAUUGAUCUAUCUAGAAUCUCUCCAGAUGUAAUGUGUUUGCCUUUUCAUUUAACCAUCAAUUUAACCAUUCAAAACAACAAUCUUCCUCACUUGUAAAAUGAACUUCUUUGCAAUCACCAUUCCAAAUAAAACAGAAAUUUUUUUCCAGCUUGUUUUUGUGCUUAAACCUACCCAAACUUUAACCAUAGCAUUAUCACAUCAUAAAAAAAAAUAUUUUUCAAAGCUCCACAGAAGAAAUUAUACAACUGUGUUCCCAAGCUGAGUUUCACUUUCCAUGCCGAGUAAACUGAUCUCCAUAAGAAAAAAUUAUGAAGUUCCCCUUGCAUUAAUGUUCUCUUUCGGCAUGGCCUGACAGUGUAGGAGAAGUAAAUUAUUAUUAGAGAAACAAUAAGACGACAGGCAGGAAGUUAAUCUGUAACUUCUUAAUGAGGGAUUAAGUGUCAUUUUUUUAAGCAUAAAACCAAAAUGUUCUCUAGUUUCAGCUUCAUGCAUGAGAGGCUGCUUUCUUAUAUGUUUAGUUAAAUUGAGUAUGCUUGGGUUCACGACUGCUACAUCAACUUGGGCUCUGAAAUAUGACAUUUGAUAGAAAAAAAUGAACUUUUUUUAUUGACUCAUCCAGAAAAUAAUCAGCAGAUAAUGAAAAUAAGUUAUAAAAGCCCAAUAUCAUUACAGAAUCAUCCAGUUUGACAAGAACACUACUUUUAAACUUGAAAGACCAAAGAAAAUAUGAGUAUCUAUGUCUCUAAAUAGAGCAGUUAUUACAGAAAAAUAACAGUUUAAAAGUACGUUAGUGAAGAUCAGAGAAAACGUCGUUCUCAAAGCGAGAUCAGCAGGUUGUUGAGCAAGCCUUCUCCUCAGGACUUCAACCUCGCAGUGUCCCGGCCUGUACUGGCAUAUUGAACACAAGGUAACACUGGCAGUGUCACGGACAGUUGGCACUGACUGCGCCUGCAGGGUGCAAGUCAUAGAGAAAACAUGUUUUCUCAUGAUGUUCUCUUGUGGGCAAAUAGUCACUACGCAAUACCAUCCUCUCUGACCUUGAGCAGAAUUAGUGAGUGGAAAGGUUUUUACCGUAAUAAAUGUAUAAAUGGAGGAGUUGUGCUUUUGGUUCAUUAUA